UAUGUUUUCUCUUUCUAUGAAUUGUUAACAUGGUAUCAAAGAGCUUGGUUGAUUUGAUCAGAACUUGAAAGAUUGAAGACAACCUUCGAUCAAUCUCUACGACGAUAAGGUUUGGUUUAUUAUCUCCUAGUUCUUUGGAUUAGUGCCUUUCAUACCUUAAAUUGUUGGAUUGUGAGUUUAUUUAUAACUAAUAGUAUUGGCACCGGUUUUGAUUUUGUAUUGAGUAUUUUGGAAGUUCUUGUGAGUCAAUUGGUUAACAUAUAGCAUCUUUGUGAUUCAACUUGGAGCAUCUUUUUUUUUAUUGGUGUUGGCAACAAUUUCAUUUUGUUACGGCAGCAGCAAUUUCAUUUUGUUACUUGGAGAAACAAUUUCAGACCAUAUAAAAAUUGUUACGGCAGUGAUUCAAUUUUGUUACGCAGUGAUUAUAUUUUGUUUCGGCAACAAGUUCAAGUUGUUAAAU
rnacentral:lncRNA from 1 species